rnacentral:rRNA from 1 species
GACGAACGCUGGCGGCGUGCUUAACACAUGCAAGUCGAACGGAAAGGCCCUGCUUUUGUGGGGUGCUCGAGUGGCGAACGGGUGAGUAACACGUGAGUAACCUGCCCUUGACUUUGGGAUAACUUCAGGAAACUGGGGCUAAUACCGGAUAGGAGCUCCUGCUGCAUGGUGGGGGUUGGAAAGUUUCGGCGGUUGGGGAUGGACUCGCGGCUUAUCAGCUUGUUGGUGGGGUAGUGGCUUACCAAGGCUUUGACGGGUAGCCGGCCUGAGAGGGUGACCGGCCACAUUGGGACUGAGAUACGGCCCAGACUCCUACGGGGGGCAGCAGUGGGGAAUAUUGCACAAUGGGCGGAAGCCUGAUGCAGCAACGCCGCGUGCGGGAUGACGGCCUUCGGGUUGUAAACCGCUUCCGCCUGUGACGAAGCGUGAGUGACGGUAAUGGGUAAAGAAGCACCGGCUAACUACGUG